UCCACUUCCUCUGGGAUAAGCUGCAGCAGGUCAGCAAAGGAAGGAGGAAGCAGAGAGGGACGACGGAGGAGAGAGACCACGCGGAAGGGAAGGCCCUCACUCCUCUCCAGGCCUGUCCCACUCACGCAGAACACUGUCCUGACAUUUAGGUGACAGAAGGGUGCCCUGCUUCGAGAAGGAAAACUACCAGGGACCCAUGUGCUCUGUAAAAUAUAGAAGGCACUACACAAGGAAGGAAAGCAGUUCCGCUGAGAUUGGCUGAUCGAAGAUGAUGAAAUGCCACAUUCGCUUCAGUAAACAGACAUUUCAAAGUCCAAAGGAAACAAACUCAAAGUCAUGACAUGCAAAAAACACUACUUGAUGCCCAGCAUGAACCUCACUCACGGACACCCUGAAAAUAGUCACUGAUUGCACCAGAGCAAUAAAACAGCUUUCAGCCUGAGGAAGAUCACAUUGAGAUGAGUUGAAAGCAUUUUGAAGAA